GUGAGCCUCGGAUCUUCAUAGCCCGUCUCACCUGCUGCACUUCUCUUCACUACCUGAGUCCUUAGGGCCUAGAAAGCCUCACGCAAAUCCUAACCAAGCGACCACAGGUGGAGGACAGUGACAUCUGGAGCAUCUGAUGGAGGCUCUGGGGCAGUUCAGAAGAAAGGCCUUUUUUUUUUUUUUUUUUUUUUUUGAGACAGGGUCACUCGAUCUCGGCUCACUGCAACCUCUGCCUCCGAGGUUCAAGUGAUUCUCAUGCUUCAGCUCCCCCAAGUAGGUGGGAUUACAGGUGCGUGCCACCAUGACUGGCUAAUUUUUGUAUUUUUUGGUAGAGACAGGGUUUCACCAUGUUGGCCAGGCUGGUUUCGAACUCCUGACCUCAAGUGUUUCUCCCACCUCAGCCUCCCCAAGUGCUGGGAUUACAGACGAGAGCCACCGCGCCUGGCCUGAGAAAGGCUUUUUCUAUGCCACAGAGAAGUUGGGCUCCCAGUCACGGGAGCAGCUGCGGCCGGUUCCAGCAGGGGGCAGCUCUCAAUGACAGCUGAAGGGCAUUGCAUAGCCAGAUGCGCACAUGGCUUUUAGGAACUGGGCUCUGCCUCCCCUGAAGUCUGUCUGAACCUGGGGCAUCACCGUCUCACCGGGCUGGGGCUUUGAUGCAUCAGGCCCAGAGAAAGAAACUUGGUAGAGGAGAGGAGGAAGGAGAUGCAACCUUCCAGGAAGCAGAAAUGUUCAAGGACUCUCAAAGGAAACUCCAGAAAACAAGGAGAGGCAGGAAUUGCCUUAUGAUCGCUUCUAGCUCUAUGUCUCACCUUUGAAAUAAAGCAUCUUCCUGGUCCCAGUGCAGAGACAGGUCCUGGGGGGAAGCAGGAGAGGAGAGAAUCAGCUCCUGUUCUCCUGUCUGCCUCAACUUCCCCAGGCCUACCCAGCCCACCUGGGCUAGGACGGAGGUGCUGGCAGCCUCUCCCCAUUAACCACACCCUGCAGGCUGAGGCGGGCAGGCUGAGGCGGGCAGGCUGGGGGCUGAGGAGACGCUCCUUCCCUGCAUUCCAUGGACAUGGUGCCUUGGGCCAGGCUGCAGAGGCCGCAGGGCCUGGCAUGUGCCCCGUGAAACUGGCCCUGCAGUGAGGCGGGGGCAGUGGGGAUGGAUGAACUCAUUCUUUCCUCGUCUGAGGCUGCUCUGAUCGUAAAACCGUGGACGCUGAGCAAAUGGCCCCAGAUGGGGAAACUGAGACCCAAAAUGAAGGGCGCAGUCGCCGAGUCAGCCAGUGACAGAGCUGGGGCUUCACUCCCGCUUCUCGAUUCUCAGCUCCCAUCCUCGUCCCUCUGCCUUUUAUGGAGCAGCAUGGAAGGAAUCAAAAACAGGCAGAGAACUUCAGGGGCCACUCUGGGCUGCUGUGAGUGAAGACUAGAGUUUGUGGGUGCAGUGCCUCCGGCUGCAGCUCUCCAGGCCCACACAGACCUGCUCCUGACACUCCUGGGGGUGCGCUGCCUGGGGGUCUUCCCUCCCCAGCCCUUCCCCAAGGUACAGUGAGUGCCUCAGGUCCUCCAGCUGCCCCUCUCCCAGUGGGAACUCACACUAGACAUGCGAGGGCAGUCAAGGAGAGCGCUUUCCUCGCUCGAGGAUAUGGGAGAGCUUUCCACCCUCCUCCUCAGGCCCCGGAGGCAGCGAGUGUGCCUGUCAGGGUUAUCAGGGUGCUCUGGGAAGGGCUCCACCUCCCCCGCAGGCUUCGCCAGAAUGCCCAACUGGGCUGCUCUCACUGCCUUUGACCUUCAGAACUCCCAAAAUACUCCCACCUCCUCCAGGAAGAAGGCGGGGUAGUGGGGGCUUUGGAGACCAAUAAGCCAGGGCCUGACUCCUAACUGGCCACCUAAUAGCUUUGUGACCUUGAGCAAGUGCCCUGGUCUUCCUGAGGGCGUGUUCUCAAGCUUCUCCGUUGUGUGGUUUUAGUGAGGGCUGGAGAUGGCGACACGUAGUAGACUCUCAAUUCAUGGUGGCUCUUAUUAUUAAAGCUGGCCAGGAUGUCCCUUCUGACCCCCAACCCUCCAGUUCCCAUAGUGCUGGGCCUUGUAACUGUCACUGUCCUGUGUAUGGGGUCAGGCUCUGGCCUCCCUCCCUCGCAACCCCUUCGGGGCAGGGUGAGAGUAAACAGGUCCCCUAGGUGUGGGACAGACGCCCGCUGCCCUCCUCCUGCCUUAUUCAUUCUCUCCAAAAACAUUAAUCACUGGUGGAUGGACAAACUGUAGGGCACCCGUAUGAUGGAAUGACCCCAGCAAUAAGGAAGAACAAAAUAGUAAUACAAUGAAUGACAUGGAUGACUCUCAAGGCACUGCGCUGAAGUUCAGCAGUUAAAUGAAAGCCGCCUAACUCAAAAGGCUGCAGACUCCGCCGCUCCCUGCGUCUGAACUCCAGGGAGGGCCACGCUGCAGCCAGAAAGCAGAUGAGGAAGCCGGCCCUGGAGAAGAAGAGGGACUUCGUGUACACACAGCUAGCUGUGGCCAAGCCAGACCAUAACUGAGAUGUUCCUUGGCCCCAAGCAAAUUAUCUCCCUGCUCUUCCAUGUAGGGACUAGAGGGUCCUGCACUCCUCAGGCCACCCAGGAACCAGUUCCCCCUUGCCCCACUAGCCUAACAUGUGAAUAGCCAAGAGGGACCACUCAAAGGACAGUUUCCUGAACAAAGAAGACCUGUUCUUAACCAGCUGGAUAAAGAAGGAGCUGAUGGCAACUUUUAUUAAAAAGAAAGAAAAGUUCCGAACCAGGAAACUUGCCAUACACCCAUUCGCCAGAUGACAACAUUGAGAUUACUCACUUCUUGAAAGAGCCCAGCCUCUAGCACUGGACAUUUAUCACAAAGCAUUUCCUUCUUGCGUUGGGCAUUCCUCUCUUGCUAGGAGGAACUGAGACUUCCCGUCCCCAGUCCCAGCCCUGAGGCCAUGCAGCCUAGGGGUGGCUGGAUUGAGCACUGCUUACUGGAUUCAGGCCAGAGACUGCCACAUUUUGUCCUCUGCUGCCUGGGUUAGGGAGACCUCUCCCUGUCAACUCAGGGGCAUGGCAGGAGCGGGGCUGGAACAGUCUCUGCAGUCAGUUCCCUCCUGGACCACCGACGCUGGGAAUGCAAGGGGUGGGUAGUUUGGUCUGUGCUUAUGUGUUGAUAUUGUGAGAUCAUUUGAGAGAAUUAAAUAUAUUUUCCCAGAUGGAAAGAAAAGGAAAAGGAAGGGGAUGUUGAGUGUGGGAGCUGUUCAUUCUUUCCAGCUUCUCUCCUUUCCCGCCAUCCCACCCCACCUGUGGACCUGUGUUUGGCAUUAGGGCACUCCUCUGUGCUUUGCUGGAUUCUGAUAGGGAGCACAGCCUGGUGUGGGGGGUGGGAGGACGGAUGGUCUGCAUCUUCCCUUCCCCUGCUCCAGUCCUUAGGCCAGUGCUUUCUGCACUGGGGGGUCAGGGGACAUUGAAGGUGCCAGUCCAAAUGCCAGUCAACACUGUGGGCAGGCCUGGCCAACACUGUCUGUGGAUGCCAGACUCUGGGAAGAGAAGCACCCACGCUCAGAGAUGGCCCACUCUCACUGGGCUCACAGCCAAACACACCCAGUUUUCUGGCCUCGGGCUGGGUGGGACAAGUGUAUAUCUCACCUGACAAGCCCUGUGAGCCUGACAAAUGGAGGGAAAAAGCCACGACAGCAGCACCUCCCAGUGAUCCGGAAGCUGGAGGAGGAGCAAGAGGACACAGGGUCUCUCCAAAAGGCAGAAGUGCGGGGGAGUGGCCUGGACAUUGUAGAGCUGGGACAGCCAAGUCCCAGGGCAAGGGCACCAGGGGACAUGGAGGAGUCCUUCCCUUGGGCCUCUCCAGAGAGGCUGCCUGGAGUUUUCACAGUUCACAAAUGAGCAGAGGAAAUUGUCCAUGCGAACAGCCCUUAGGGGAUCUCCCAGAGAGGUGUCUCGGGUGCUAGGGGAAGCCCAAACACCCCACUUCAGUUUUCACGUAGGAGGAGGAGAAGGCAAUGACUUGUCUUGAAGCAGCCGCUGCCCAGCAAGCACACGAUUUUUAUUUAAAUUGAAGGUUUAUUUGGAGUGGGCUUGGGGGAGUACUUCUCAUGCACACACUUUUUCUGUCUCCUCAUUUCCCCAGCCCAAUCCUCCCCACAUUCCUCUGCCUUCCCGCCUCCCAUUUUAUUAGGUGUCAGUUGUCUGCUCCAAACCUUCAGUAGCUCCCAUUUGUGAUAAGGUGAAGUCCAAAUCCCAUAGCCUGCAUUCAAGUUCUUCCACGGUUAGGGUGGACAUACACCCCACUUUGUUUUGGAUGAUCUAGUUUAUAUCUGCUGUCUUGGCAUAAUAAUUCAUAGCACCCUGCUUCAUGCAAAAAUGUAUCCCAGUUUGGAGAAUAAAUGAUGUGGUCCACCCGUGUACAGUCCACUCCCAACCUCAUGCUCCAGGCUAAUGGCCAACUGUCUCUCUUGAAUCCUCUGAGUCAGUGGUUUUGAACUCUGGUUGCUCAUUAGAAUCACCUGGGGAGCUUUUAAUAAAUAUCACUACUUAGACUCACCCCCAAAACAGGUCAAAUAAAACAGAAUCUCUAGGGGCAGGACCCAGCCUUUGGUAUUUUUUUAAGCAUCCAGAUGACUCUGAUGUGCAGCCAGGGUGGAGAACAACUGACCUCAGUAAAACAGGUGUCCUGGAACUCUGUCCCUGAGCCCAUCUUACACAUUUCUGUCCCUAGUUUUUGGUAACUUGCUCCCAUUGUCUAUCCGCCAUUUAACUCUUUCUUUUCCUCUGUGUGUGGUCUUUCAUUCAUUCUUUAAGUCCUACCCAAGCUGCUAAGCCUAGCUCCAAUGCUGCCUCCUCCUACAUCUUUCCUGACCUCUUAGCCAGAAAGGGUCUUCCUCUCUACCCACUACUGCCCCCUCCCUCCCCCACUAUUGAAUGUCAUCUAUGAUCCACGCCCUGUUUUGCCUUCUUCACAGUCUAUGAGCUCCAUGGCAUGGGUCAUGUCUGAUUAAUCUCUGGAGACCCCAGGGCCCAGACCCAACUUACAGUAAAGCCUCUCACACCUGAGUGAGUGACUAUCACUGCUGGUCCUGAACUUGGGCAGCGUCAUCCACCCCGACACGGGGCACCAGCACAUGCUGCCUCUACAAGUUAAGUUUCUUUUCCUGUGUGCGGGCUUUCAUUCAUUCAUUCACUCACUCAUUCUGCUUUGUGCCAGGCGCUGUGUUCUCCAUCACCUCUUCUUGAUUUCCUGUACUAUUGGAGAACUGUCCUUUCUCUCUCAUGUCCAUCCCCUGGACAGCCCUGCAGACUGUCUUGCAUAUAAACGGUACUCAGUAUUGAUUGAUAAUCAACUGACGAAUAGAUAAACAAAAGUGGUGUGUCCUUACAAUGAAAUAUUAUUCAGCCAUGAAAAGGAAAUGAAGUACUGAUACAUGCUACAAUAUGAAUAACCCUAAAAACAUUAUUCUAAGUGAAAGAAGCCAGGAACAAAAGACCACAUAAACUGUAUGCUAUCAUUUACAUGCAAAGUACAGAAUAGACAAAUCCAUAGAGACAAAAAGUAGAUUAGUGGUUGCCAAGGGCUAGAAGAAGGGGGAAAUUAAGAUUAACUUUUGUUUUGUUUUGAGACAGAGUCUUGCUCUGUCGCCCAGGCUGGAGUGCAGUGGCCUGAUCUUGGAUCACUGCAACCUCCGCCUCCCAGGUUCAAGCAAUUCUCCUGCCUCAGCCCCCUGAGUAGCUGGGAUUACAGGUGUGUGCCACCAUGCCUGGCUAAUUUUUUUUUUUUUUUUGUAUUUUUAGUAAAGACAGGGUUUCGCCAUGUUGGUCAGGCUGGUCUCAAACUCCUGACCUCAAGUGAUCCGCCCACCUCAGCCUCCCAAAUUGUUGGGAUUAUAGGCGUGAGCCACAGCUCCUGGCCAGGACUAGCUGUUAAUA
rnacentral:lncRNA from 10 species